rnacentral:rRNA from 1 species
UACAGAGGUGGCAAGCGUUGUUCGGAAUUACUGGGCGUAAAGGGCGCGUAGGCGGUUCGUUAAGUCCUGUGUGAAAUCCCCCGGCUCAACCGGGGAAUUGCGCGUGAUACUGGCGGGCUCGAGGCGGGUAGGGGUGAGCGGAACUCCAGGUGGAGCGGUGAAAUGCGUAGAUAUCUGGGGGAACACCGGUGGCGAAAGCGGCUCACUGGACCUGAUCUGACACUGAGGUGCGAAAGCCAGGGGAGCAAACGGG